UCUUUGGAGAGUUUGAUCCUGGCUCAGGACGAACGCUGGCGGCGUGCCUAAUACAUGCAAGUCGAGCGGGCNUUUGGUCAGCGGCGGACGGGUGAGUAACACGUGGGCAACCUGCCCGCAAGACCGGGAUAACUCCGGGAAACCGGAGCUAAUACCGGAUAACACCGAAGACCGCAUGGUCUUUGGUUGAAAGGCGGCCUUUGGCUGUCACUUGCGGAUGGGCCCGCGGCGCAUUAGCUAGUUGGUGAGGUAACGGCUCACCAAGGCGACGAUGCGUAGCCGGCCUGAGAGGGUGACCGGCCACACUGGGACUGAGACACGGCCCAGACUCCUACGGGAGGCAGCAGUAGGGAAUCUUCCGCAAUGGGCGAAAGCCUGACGGAGCGACGCCGCGUGAGCGAAGAAGGCCUUCGGGUCGUAAAGCUCUGUUGUGAGGGACGAAGGAGCGCCGUUCGAAGAGGGCGGCGCGGUGACGGUACCUCACGAGAAAGCCCCGGCUAACUACGUGCCAGCAGCCGCGGUAAUACGUAGGGGGCGAGCGUUGUCCGGAAUUAUUGGGCGUAAAGCGCGCGCAGGCGGU
rnacentral:rRNA from 1 species